rnacentral:pre_miRNA from 1 species
CGGGGGGAGGGGUGGUCUCUCAGCCCGGAUUGCAAGAGGGUGCAGGCCAGGCCAGGGACCCCACCGGUGUAUG